CCUACGGGGGGCAGCAGUGGGGAAUUUUGCACAAUGCUCGAAAGAGUGAUGCAGCGACGCCGCGUGAAUGAAGAAGGUCUUCGGAUCGUAAAGUUCUUUAAAGAGAAUUGCGGUACCUGUAUAAUAAGCCCCGGCUAACUCCGUGCCAGCAGCCGCGGUAAUACGGAGGGGGCAAGCGUUGUUCGGAGUGACUGGGCGUAAAGAGCACGUAGGCGGUGAUGUAAGUCAUUAGUCAAAGGCGACAGCUUAACUGUCGUAAGGCUAGUGAAACUAUAUUACUAGAGUGUCGGAGAGGAUUACAGAAUUCCUGGUGUAGCGGUGAUAUGCGUAGAUAUCAGGAGGAAUACCCGUUGCGAAGGCGGUAAUCUGGUCACACUGACGCUGAGGUGCGAAAGCGUGGGUAGCAAACAGGAUUAGAUACCCUUGUAGUC
rnacentral:rRNA from 1 species